rnacentral:rRNA from 1 species
CUAGCAUAUCAAUAAGCGGAGGAAAAGAAACCAACAGGGAUUGCCCUAGUAACGGCGAGUGAAGCGGCAACAGCUCAAAUUUGAAACCUGGCGCAAGCCCGGAUUGUAAUUUGUAGAGGAUGCUUCUGGGCAGCGGCCGGUCUAAGUUCCUUGGAACAGGACGUCAUAGAGGGUGAGAAUCCCGUAUGCGACCGGCGCGCACCCUCCACGUAGCUCCUUCGACGAGUCGAGUUGUUUGGGAAUGCAGCUCUAAAUGGGAGGUAAAUUUCUUCUAAAGCUAAAUAUUGGCCAGAGACCGAUAGCGCACAAGUAGAGUGAUCGAAAGAUGAAAAGCACUUUGGAAAGAGAGUUAAAAAGCACGUGAAAUUGUUGAAAGGGAAGCGCUUCCCACCAGACUCCGCGGCGGUGUUCCGCCGGCCUUCUGGCCGGUCCACUCGCCGCCGUGGGGCCAACAUCGUCUGGGGCCGUCGGAUAAGACCGGAGGAAUGUAGCUCAUUGAGUGUUAUAGCCUCCGGGGAUGCGACGCGCGCCGGGCGAGGUCCGCGCUUCGGCAAGGAUGUUGGCGUAAUGGUGGGCAGCGGCCCGUCUUGAAACACGGACCAAGGAGUCUAACAUCUAUGCGAGUGUUCGGGUGUCAAACCCCUACGCGUAAUGAAAGUGAACGGAGGUGGGAGCUUCGGCGCACCAUCGACCGAUCCUGAUGUCCUCGGAUGGAUUUGAGUAAGAGCAUAGCUGUUGGGACCCGAAAGAUGGUGAACUAUGCCUGAAUAGGGUGAAGCCAGAGGAAACUCUGGUGGAGGCUCGCAGCGGUUCUGACGUGCAAAUCGAUCGUCAAAUUUGGGUAUAGGGGCGAAAGACUAAUCGAACCAUCUAGUAGCUGGUUCUGC